AGAGUUUGAUCCUGGCUCAGAUUGAACGCUGGCGGUAUGCUUAACACAUGCAAGUCGAACGGAAACGAUACUAGCUUGCUAGUAGGCGUCGAGUGGCGGACGGGUGAGUAACGCGUAGGAAUCUGCCUGAUAGUGGGGGAUAGCCCGGAGAAAUUCGGAUUAAUACCGCAUAAUCUAUUCGUAGUAAAGGAGGCCUCUAUUUAUAUGCUUUCGCUAUCAGAUGAGCCUGCGUAAGAUUAGCUUGUUGGUGAGGUAAAAGCUCACCAAGGCGACGAUCUUUAGCUGGUCUGAGAGGAUGAUCAGCCACAUCGGGACUGAGACACGGCCCGAACUCCUACGGGAGGCAGCAGUGGGGAAUAUUGGACAAUGGGCGCAAGCCUGAUCCAGCAAUACCGCGUGUGUGAAGAAGGCCUGAGGGUUGUAAAGCACUUUCAAUUGUGAAGAAAAGCUAAUGGUUAAUACCCAUUAGCCUUGACGUUAACUUUAGAAGAAGCACCGGCUAACUCCGUGCCAGCAGCCGCGGUAAUACGGAGGGUGCAAGCGUUAAUCGGAAUUACUGGGCGUAAAGCGUGCGUAGGUGGUUUGUUAAGUCAGAUGUGAAAGCCCCGGGCUCAACCUGGGAACUGCAUUUGAAACUGGCAAACUUGAGUAUAGGAGAGGAAAGUGGAAUUUCUGGUGUAG
rnacentral:rRNA from 1 species